AGUUCCGAAGUGAUUCACAUUAGAUUGCAAAUCUUAAAAAGCAGAAGGACUUCUGCCGGGGCUU
rnacentral:tRNA from 1 species